GACGAACGCUGGCGGCGUGCUUAACACAUGCCAGUCGAACGGAAAGGCCCUGCUUUUGUGGGGUGCUCGAGUGGCGAACGGGUGAGUAACACGUGAGUAACCUGCCCUUGACUUUGGGAUAACUUCAGGAAACUGGGGCUAAUACCGGAUAGGAGCUCCUGCUGCAUGGUGGGGGUUGGAAAGUUUCGGCGGUUGGGGAUGGACUCGCGGCUUAUCAGCUUGUUGGUGGGGUAGUGGCUUACCAAGGCUUUGACGGGUAGCCGGCCUGAGAGGGUGACCGGCCACAUUGGGACUGGAAUGAGGCACAGACUCCUACGGGAGGCAGCAGUGGGGAAUAUUGCACAAUGGGCGGAAGCCUGAUGCAGCAACGCCGCGUGCGGGAUGACGGCCUUCGGUUUGUAAACCGCUUUCGCCUGUGACGAAGCGUGAGUGACGGUAAUGGGUAAAGAAGCACCGGCUAACUACGUG
rnacentral:rRNA from 1 species